CAUGACUCGGAAUAUAGUACAUGUUGAUUUUUUUACAAAUUAUUUUACACUUUUGAAUUAUGAGUCACGCAAACAUAAAAGAAAGUACAAAGUAUAAUACAACUUAAUUAUACACACAGUAUAGAUAUAAAAAAAACACUUCAUAAAAACCGUAUGUAGUAUCUUCUCAAUUUGUGGAUAAAGAUAAAAUAAGGAAUUUGGAAAGACAUCGCUAUCUAGAUCAAGAGUGUAUUUAGGGAGGGGGAAGAGGGGAGUGGGGUCGUUCCCUCUUCCAUGGUGAACAAAAUUUGAAAUGGAACAGAAAAAAUAUAACCAACAAAUUUCGGCUAAACUUUACUUCUGGGCACUAAAAAUUAUUGAAUUUUUUUUAUUAUGAAAAAGGGGUAAGUUCACAUAAUGAAAAACUGGAGUUAAUGAUGGAUAAACUUUUAUUCUGGUAUUAUCUUUAUAUUUUCAUUCAAUUUGGAGAUCCUUCUUUUCAAAAUCAAUACAAUUUUCAUAAAACAAAAUUUCUUCAUAAGAAUUGCAUUCUA